GGCGUAAAGAGCUCGUAGGUGGUUUGUCGCGUUGUUCGUGAAAACUCACAGCUUAACUGUGGGCGUGCGGGCGAUACGGGCAGACUAGAGUACUGCAGGGGAGACUGGAAUUCCUGGUGUAGCGGUGGAAUGCGCAGAUAUCAGGAGGAACACCGGUGGCGAAGGCGGGUCUCUGGGCAGUAACUGACGCUGAGGAGCGAAAGCGUGGGGAGCGAACAGGAUUAGAUACCCUGGUAGUCCACGCCGUAAACGGUGGGUACUAGGUGUGGGUUCCUUCCUUGGGAUCCGUGCCGUAGCUAACGCAUUAAGUACCCCGCCUGGGGAGUACGGCCGCAAGGCUAAAACUCAAAGGAAUUGACGGGGGCCCACACAAGCGGCGGAGCAUGUGGAUUAAUUCGAUGCAACGCGAAGAACCUUACCUGGGUUUGACAUGCACAGGACGCUGGUAGAGAUAUCAGUUCCCUUGUGGCCUGUGUGCAGGUGGUGCAUGGCUGUCGUCAGCUCGUGUCGUGAGAUGUUGGGUUAAGUCCCGCAACGAGCGCAACCCCUAUCUUAUGUUGCCAGCGCGUUAUGGCGGGGACUCGUAAGAGACUGCCGGGGUCAACUCGGAGGAAGGUGGGGAUGACGUCAAGUCAUCAUGCCCCUUAUGUCCAGGGCUUCACACAUGCUACAAUGGCCGGUACAAAGGGCUGCGAAUCCGCGAGGUGGAGCGAAUCCCUUGAAAGCCGGUCUCAGUUCGGAUCGGGGUCUGCAACUCGACCCCGUGAAGUUGGAGUC
rnacentral:rRNA from 1 species